rnacentral:rRNA from 1 species
GAUGAACGCUGGCGGCGUGCCUAAUACAUGCAAGUCGAGCGAACAGACGAGGAGCUUGCUCCUCUGACGUUAGCGGCGGACGGGUGAGUAACACGUGGAUAACCUACCUAUAAGACUGGGAUAACUUCGGGAAACCGGAGCUAAUACCGGAUAAUAUAUUGAACCGCAUGGAUCAAUAGUGAAAGACGGUUUUGCUGUCACUUAUAGCUGGAUCCGCGCCGCAUUAGCUAGUUGGUAAGGUAACGGCUUACCAAGGCAACGAUGCGUAGCCGACCUGAGAGGGUGAUCAGCCACACUGGAACUGAGACACGGUCCAGACUCCUACGGGAGGCAGCAGUAGGGAAUCUUCCGCAAUGGGCGAAAGCCUGACGGAGCAACGCCGCGUGAGUGAUGAAGGUCUUCGGAUCGUAAAACUCUGUUAUUAGGGAAGAACAAAUGUGUAAGUAACUAUGCACGUCUUGACGGUACCUAAUCAGAAAGCCACGGCUAACUACGUG